rnacentral:lncRNA from 1 species
UUUUUGCCUAAUGAGAAUGUCUAAUGAGAAAAAAAUAAGCAAAUGAAUCCAUUUGAGAUGGUGAUUAGCAAUGGAAAGCAACAUGGCACCCUAUGAAAAUGUAGCAAAUAUUCAAAUUCAUGGAAAUAGGUACUAGUGGCUUUUCUAGAAGAUCAAUUAAAAGCCUCUUUAAAGAAUGAGUUCUUCCAGACCUCCCCCUGCCUUUUACUUUUGCAGUAAGCGUGCCUUAGACAAGACCUUCUAUAAAGUUUAUGGAUAGAUGAAUUGCACAAGUACAAAACUUGUCUUAUGCAUGAAACUUCACAGCUUUGUUAAAUGAAAAUAGGAUAGUAAAUGCCAAAACAAAACAAAACCACAAAAAGAAUGAUACUGGUAUUCUGUCUUUUUCUUUCACUGACUGUAUAAAUGUGGCCGAGUUUCUGAAUUCUGAGGGGAAGCAGUGUGUAUAUACAUACACAAAUAGGAAAUAUGCAUGUAAGAAAGAUGUGUCAAAUGACUUGUGUUGCACAGAAAUUCUGGCAGGAGAUCUUGUUUACUUGGAUAGUUACUUGAUUAUUCUCUGGUUCACAGAGAUGAGCAUUCCUGUCACAGACCUUCAAUCAACAUCUCCUUAUGAAUACACUGUUACAUCCUAAAAUGAACAAAGGAAGAAAGAUAAACGCAUCAGCCAAAGUGGCUGUCCAGCUCUGACACAGCCACUGAGCCUGACACACAUCGUUGUUGGCAGCAGCGCAAAUUAGUGCUCCAGUGACAGCCACCCCGUGGCAGAAAUGCCUUUGCAAGUUAGGAUGCUCAGAGAUCUGUAAGCCUGGGGAAAGCACAGCCUGGAGAGAUGGAGCCGUGGCAAGCCGAGAGAGGUGAGGACAACUGGAAAACCCGACAAGAAACAUCAAAAGAGAAAUAUGAAGCUGAGAUUUGAAAAGGAAAAAGCCUUCUCUGUCCUUUCCUUGCAGCAAAGUGGGACUUUGAUCAGACGUGCAAGAAAUAAAGGUACGACAUUUCUUGAUCUGAGGAGGAAAAGUGUGGUGGUUUUUGUUUGUUUGUUGGUUGGUUGGUUGUUUUUUUUUUUUGUUUUUUUUGUUUUUUUUUUGGUUUGGUUUAUUGCUUCUUUUCCUCCACUCUUUCACAAAGUUUCUUCCAGAACUCACAGUUAUAACAUUUUCUCUUUGUCAUUAAAAAAAUCACUAUCCUUUCUUUGAUGAGUCUAAUUAAAGCAAGGAAAUAAUAAGGGAAGUAGAUAUCUUUCUGCUCUUCCAGCUGGUUUGUAAUACCAAAUAUAAAUUUGCUUGCACAAAAAGAACAUUUCAUGUGAAUUCAUGUGAAUUCAUCUUUUUUUUUUCUUUUCCAUUGACCACAAUGUGCAGAUAGCAAAUAUUUUCUUUUUUUUUGUUUGUUUGUUUGUUUGUUUUGUGUGUGUGCAUCCUUGAUAUAGGAGAUAAAAUUAUAGCAAAACAGAAUGCAUGACUAAUUUGCAUUAUCCAAAGUCCUUUCUUUCCAAUGAGUUACCACAAAGUCCAUGCCACCCACAGCAAGCAAACAAAAAAAAUCUUUUGACACAUUUUCAGCUUAAGAUAGGUGCACUCAGGCUUACAUUUUAGGAUGGCUGAAUUGCCAGCUUCUCUCAAUUAACUAUAUACAGAAUGAAAGGUGACUGUUCCUGAAAGGUGAGAUUCUUUGUUGGCUGCCCUGAGUUUGAUCUGUUUUUGUCAGCUCCCUGAUAUAAACUACUCAGGAAAAAAUAAAAUAAAAUUACUUUGUUUAGUGACA